rnacentral:tRNA from 1 species
AGCAAGAUAAGCUAUUCAAGCUAGUGGGUUCAUACCCCAAAAAAGAGAAACCUCUCUUGCUA